UUGUUCGCAUGAACAACGCUUAAAAGAUGGCUUCUCGCUAUCACUUCUGGAUGGACCUGCGGUGCAUUAGCUUGUUGGUGGGGUAACGGCCUACCAAGGCGAUGAUGCAUAGCCGAGUUGAGAGACUGAUCGGCCACAAUGGGACUGAGACACGGCCCAUACUCCUACGGGAGGCAGCAGUAGGGAAUCUUCCACAAUGGGCGCAAGCCUGAUGGAGCAACACCGCGUGAGUGAAGAAGGGUUUCGGCUCGUAAAGCUCUGUUGUUAAAGAAGAACACGUAUGAGAGUAACUGUUCAUACGUUGACGGUAUUUAACC
rnacentral:rRNA from 1 species